GCCUGAGCCCACUCGGAGAUCGGCCCUCAGGGCAAAGUGAGGCGUGAGGACCGAGCGCAGGUGCAAGUCCUGCCCUCGUGAGGACGGCCUUCUGGCGGGAGCACAGGUGGGAACACACAGGUUCUCGGCUCGCCCUGCGUGUCUCUGCCUGGCAGCAACCAGCACCCUGUGUGUGGGUGCCCUGGCCUGGGCCCCUCUCACCGACCUCUUCCGUCUACGGGCAAAGCGUCAAGCACCUCGAGUGCGCCCUAGCCCAGGGAGCUGUGCGGGACGAGCUGUGUUGCCAGACCAUUGAGAAACGGCUGGGGGGCUGCUGUGCUUGGCAGGAGCUUGUGUCUCCCGGCUGGUGACAGCCCCGGGCCCUGCAGGCAACACCGGGCGUCUUGCCACCGCUGCAGGCAGGGACGGUUCGUGCGUCCUGGAGAUGGAGGG